GAUUAACGCUGGCGGCGUGCAUAACACAUGCAAGUCGAACGAUGAAACUUAAAUGAUUUCUUCGGAAUGAACUUAAGUGGAUUAGUGGCGGCCGGGUGAGUAACGCGUGAGUAACCUGCCUUACACAAGGGGAUAGCCGUUGGAAACGACGAAUAAUACCCUAUGAAACUAUCACUUCGCAUGAAGCGAUAGUCAAAGUGUUAGCGGUGUAAGAUGGACUUGCGUCUGAUUAGCUAGGUGGUGAGAAAAAAGCCCACCAAGGCAACGAUCAGUAGCCGGCUUGAGAGAGUGUACGGCCACAUUGGGACUGAGACACGGCCCAGACUCCUACGGGAGGCAGCAGUGGGGAAUUUUGCACAAUGGGGGAAACCCUGAUGCAGCGACGCCGCGUGAUUUAGAAGGCCUUCGGGUUGUAAAAAUCUUUUGUAUAGGAAGAAAAUGACAGUACUAUACGAAUAAGGUCCGGCUAAUUACGUG
rnacentral:rRNA from 1 species